AAAAAUUUAGUUAAUACAUAACGUUAAUUUGUCAUAUUAAAAUAACUGAAAUAGUAAUUUUUC
rnacentral:tRNA from 1 species